CACCCGCCCGAGAACUUCGAGCCCAAACGCUUAAAACUCUAAGGACUUGGCGGUGCCCUAAACCCACCUAGAGGAGCCUGUUCUAUAAUCGAUAACCCACGAUACACCCAACCACUUCUAGCCACAACAGCCUACAUACCGCCGUCAGCAGCCCACCUCAGUGAGAGAACAACAGUGAGCCCAAGAGCCACCCAGCCCGCUAACAAGACAGGUCAAGGUAUAGCCCACGAAGUGGAAGAAAUGGGCUACAUUUUCUAAAGUAGAACAUACCAACGAAAAGGGGUAUGAAACCUACCCCUAGAAGGCGGAUUUAGCAGUAAAGAGGGACAAUCAUGCCCUCCUUAAGCCGGUCCUAGGGCACGUACAUAC
rnacentral:rRNA from 1 species